rnacentral:rRNA from 1 species
GGGAAUGCAGCUCUAAGUGGGUGGUAAAUUCCAUCUAAAGCUAAAUAUUGGCGAGAGACCGAUAGCGAACAAGUACAGUGAUGGAAAGAUGAAAAGAACUUUGAAAAGAGAGUGAAAAAGUACGUGAAAUUGUUGAAAGGGAAGGGCUUGAGAUCAGACUUGGUAUUUUGCGAUCCUUUCCUUCUUGGUUGGGUUCCUCGCAGCUUACUGGGCCAGCAUCGGUUUGGAUGGUAGGAUAAUGACUAAGGAAUGUGGCUCUACUUCGGUGGAGUGUUAUAGCCUUGGUUGAUACUGCCUGUCUAGACCGAGGACUGCGUCUUUUGACUAGGAUGUUGGCAUAAUGAUCUUAAGCCACCCGUCUUGAAACACGGACCAAGGAGUCUAACGUCUAUGCGAGUGUUUGGGUGUAAAACCCGUACGCGUAAUGAAAGUGAACGUAGGUGAGAGCUCUUAAGAGUGCAUCAUCGACCGAUCCUGAUGUCUUCGGAUGGAUUUGAGUAAGAGCAUAGCUGUUGGGACCCGAAAGAUGGUGAACUAUGCCUGAAUAGGGUGAAGCCAGAGGAAACUCUGGUGGAGGCUCGUAGCGGUUCUGACGUGCAAAUCGAUCGUCGAAUUUGGGU